UUUACAUUCCAUUAUGCGCAUCGAGUCAAACUGUCCACUGAACUCUGGCCGUGGUGGAACCGGCAGGCUCGUUUACGGGAAGAGCAGAAAUUUUCCCAAUUAAGGUGCAUCUCCCAGGAUUAACAACAACAGAACUCCGAACCAGAAUCGAGGCCUUCAAUAACUACACGAUCAAUAUUCGAAGUAAUAGCAACAUCAGCCACAAUCAAUUAAGAAAGCAAAGAAAUUUUCAUUCGUGAUUUCAUCCGAAGCUCCAAAGCUCGAUUCGACCCGACGGAUUGCUAAAAGGAAGAUAGUUUCUGUCUCCGUUUUCGAACUUGAAUAUUCGCUGGUGGCCGCAUCUGAUAAACCUGAUUCCGAUCGUGUAGCUAUGAUUAUAUUGUUCUGUGUUUUCCCGUCAGUGUAAGGGCUUUUUUGCUUUACGGAUAGCGAACCAGAAUACAUACAAAAAUAGGAAAAAUGAAAACCAGCGCUUCUAAAAUAUCAGGUUUGUCUGCAAAAUGCUUCCGGGGAUACAAUUUGAUAUCGUUUGUUGACAGUGAAAACGUUUUCUGGAAAGUCGAUCAAUUUAACCCAGUUGAGAGGACUAGGAGCUUCAAAUUGGCCUUCUCAUCAGUGGGCCUUCUAGCAGCUAAUCGAUUGAGGCAGUGGCUCAAAAACAUAACAGGAUGGCGUACUGGAUGAUGAAGGAUGUGUUGAUUAACAGUGCGAACAUGUUAAAUGUGAAAUAAUUGUUAAAUGUUGUUUUCUACCAUUGAACUGUAAUAAAUUAUGUAUCAUAAAGUGUUUCGAAUAUUAAUAAAACUUGAAAAGAACUUGAUUUUUAUCAAAUAGGUUUAUAAAUAGUUUA